rnacentral:rRNA from 1 species
AUUGAACGCUGGCGGCAGGCCUAACACAUGCAAGUCGAGCGGAUGAGUGGAGCUUGCUCCAUGAUUCAGCGGCGGACGGGUGAGUAAUGCCUAGGAAUCUGCCUGGUAGUGGGGGACAACGUUUCGAAAGGAACGCUAAUACCGCAUACGUCCUACAGGAGAAAGCAGGGGACCUUCGGGCCUUGCGCUAUCAGAUGAGCCUAGGUCGGAUUAGCUAGUAGGUGAGGUAAUGGCUCACCUAGGCGACGAUCCGUAACUGGUCUGAGAGGAUGAUCAGUCACACUGGAACUGAGACACGGUCCAGACUCCUACGGGAGGCAGCAGUGGGGGAAUAAUUGGACAAUGGGCGAAAGACCUGAUCCAGCCAUGCUGCGUGUGUGAAGAAAGGUCUUCGGAUUGUUAAAGGACACUUUAAAGUUGGGUAGGAAGGGUAGGUAACCUAAU